rnacentral:rRNA from 1 species
UAAUACGGAGGAUCCGAGCGUUAUCCGGAUUUAUUGGGUUUAGAGGGUGCGUAGGCGGCUCAUUAAGUCAGGGGUGAAAGACGGCAGCUCAACUGUCGCAGUGCCUUUGAUACUGAUGAGCUUGAAUGUGGUUGAAGAUGGCGGAAUGAGACAAGUAGCGGUGAAAUGCAUAGAUAUGUCUCAGAACUCCGAUUGCGAAGGCAGCUGUCUAAGUCAUUAUUGACGCUGAUGCACGAAAGCGUGGGGAUCGAACAGGAUUAGAUACCCUGGUAGUCCACGCCCUAAACGAUGAUAACUCGAUGUUGGCGAUACACAGUCAGCGUCUUAGCGAAAGCGUUAAGUUAUCCACCUGGGGAGUACGCCCGCAAGGGUGAAACUCAAAGGAAUUGACGGGGGCCCGCACAAGCGGAGGAGCAUGUGGUUUAAAUUCGAUGAUACGCGAGGAACCUUACCCGGGCUUGAAAGUUACUGAAUUAUCUAGAG